UUAAUAGUAUUGUAGAAAUUAUUAAUAACCCAACAUCCUUACUUCAAAUUUAACACUUAUCAUAUAAAAUUCUACAGUGAACAAUUGACACUUCAUGAGAAAUGAUAGAUUUUUUAUAAAUCACGACUUCAGUAUACUCAAAUGAUUAUGUAUAAGCUUGGAUAAUUUUGAUAGCCUCUCAAACGGCGACUAGAAAUAAUAGAAUAUAAUCUAUACAACAGCAAAGAAUUCUACAGCAAAUACAGUUCUUCAUAAUACCGUAAAUUAAUAAUCAAGGAUAACAAAGUUAUGCUCUGUGAUGAUAAUAACCUCAGCGUGAUUAGAGUAGCAUUAUCAUCGAGCUAAGAUUACAAUACCAUCGAGCUUCUUUAAUUAUAUAUAAUAGCUAAAUAAUACAGAUCCACACACACACUAUAUAUGAAUGCUUCAAACCUGCCGUAUUUGUAUAUACGUCGUCUUCUUCUGG
rnacentral:lncRNA from 1 species